AGAGUUUGAUCCUGGCUCAGGAUGAACGCUAGCGGCAGGCCUAAUACAUGCAAGUCGAACGGGUGUAGCAAUACACUAGUGGCGCACGGGUGCGUAACGCGUAACCAACCUGCCUGGAUCUGGGGGAUAGCCCGCCGAAAGGCGGAUUAAUACCGCAUAAGACUAUAGAGUGGCAUCACUUCGUAGUUAAAGAUUUAUUGGAUUCAGAUGGGGUUGCGUAGCAUUAGCUAGAUGGCGGGGUAACGGCCCACCAUGGCGACGAUGCUUAGGGGACCUGAGAGGGUGAUCCCCCACACUGGCACUGAGAUACGGGCCAGACUCCUACGGGAGGCAGCAGUAGGGAAUAUUGGGCAAUGGGCGAGAGCCUGACCCAGCCAUGCCGCGUGCCGGAUGAAGGCCUUCUGGGUUGUAAACGGCUUUUCUCAGGGAAGAAAAAGCCCAUGCGUGGGACACUGACGGUACCUGAGGAAUAAGCACCGGCUAACUCCGUGCCAGCAGCCGCGGUAAUACGGAGGGUGCAAGCGUUGUCCGGAUUUAUUGGGUUUAAAGGGUGCGUAGGUGGCUUGUUAAGUCCGGGGUGAAAGCCCACAGCUCAACUGUGGAACUGCCCUGGAUACUGGCGAGCUUGAGUCCAGACGAGGUUGGCGGAAUGGAUGCUGUAGCGGUGAAAUGCAUAGAUAGCAUCCAGAACCCCGAUUGCGUAGGCAGCUGACUAGGCUGGUACUGACACUGAGGCACGAAAGCGUGGGGAGCGAACAGGAUUAGAUACCCCAGUAGUCC
rnacentral:rRNA from 1 species